CGGGGUGAGUAACGCGUGGACAACCUGCCUCACACUGGGGGAUAACAGUUAGAAAUGACUGCUAAUACCGCAUAAGCGCACAGUACCGCAUGGUACAGUGUGAAAAACUCCGGUGGUGUGAGAUGGAUCCGCGUCUGAUUAGCCAGUUGGCGGGGUAACGGCCCACCAAAGCGACGAUCAGUAGCCGACCUGAGAGGGUGACCGGCCACAUUGGGACUGAGACACGGCCCAA
rnacentral:rRNA from 1 species